CAGGUCCUCCUGACUUCAGAGCCGGUGCUCUAUUCACUUUGCCAUCUAGCUGCCCCCUCCUGACCUCUUGAAUUCACAAGGUAGCUUCCAAGGCCAGAAGUACCUAUCUCAAGACUGAUGUUCAGUCAUCUAUACUCAAGGAAAGAAAUACAAAGCAGAAAAGCCAGCCAGGGACUUGAGAUUCAGUCUCUGACUCAUCAGGGAAAUAGAGUUCAGAAAUUGUGAGUUUCAAGAAGUCAAAGAGUGAGCCGCUUAAAAGGUCUGGGAGCAAAAUCCAUGCUGCGUUUUGAGUCAGUCAGUUCAGCUUUGAGAUGUAGGGGAGAAAAAAGUGACCUUUGGAACCCGGCCCAACAGCAAUUAAGAUGAGGACUCAUCCGGCAUCAACACAGCGUUUGGAUGUGGAUAUAAAAUUAGUGGCCUCUCAAUUUGACAACAUUGAAAUUAGGGCCAUUAAUAACCUUACAAUGGCAUCUAAGUGUUCAAGUGAAAGGAAGAGUCAACUGAUGGGGCAAAUUUCAUUGUUGCCUUAUUUUAAGAAAUUGCCACAGCCACUCCAACCCUCAAAAAUCACCACCCUGAUCAGUCGGUGGCCACAACAUCAAGGCAAGACCCUUCACCAGCAAAAUAAUUAUGAUUAGCUGAAGGCUCAGAUGAUGGUUAGCACUUUUUAGCAAUAAAAUAUU